rnacentral:rRNA from 1 species
GACGAAGCAGGCGGCGUGCUUAACACAUGCAAGUCGAGCGAGAGAGUUCCUUCGGGAACAAUCUAGCGGCGGACGGGUGAGUAACACGUGGGCAACCUGCCUUGUAGAGGGGAAUAGCCUUCCGAAAGGAAGAUUAAUACCGCAUAGUAUCCAGAUACCGCAUGGUAUUUGGAUGAAAGGAGUAAUCCGCUACAAGAUGGGCCCGCGGCGCAUUAGCUAGUUGGUGAGGUAACGGCUCACCAAGGCGACGAUGCGUAGCCGACCUGAGAGGGUGAUCGGCCACAUUGGGACUGAGACACGGCCCAGACUCCUACGGGAGGCAGCAGUGGGGAAUAUUGCACAAUGGGGGAAACCCUGAUGCAGCAACGCCGCGUGAGUGAUGACGGCCUUCGGGUUGUAAAGCUCUGUCUUCAGGGACGAUAAUGACGGUACCUGAGGAGGAAGCCACGGCUAACUACGUGCCAGCAGCCGCGGUAAUACGUAGGUGGCAAGCGUUGUCCGGAUUUACUGGGCGUAAAGGGAGCGUAGGCGGAUAUUUAAGUGGGAUGUGAAAUCCCCGGGCUCAACCCGGGAGCUGCAUUCCAAACUGGAUAUCUAGAGUGCAGGAGAGGAGAGUGGAAUUCCUAGUGUAGCGGUGACAUGCGUAUAGAUUAGGAAGAACCCCCCUGGCGAAGGCGACUCUCUGGACUGUAACUGACGCUGAGGCUCGAAAAGCGUGGGGGAGCAAACAAGGAUUAGAUUACCCUGGUAGUCCACACCGUACACGAUGAAUACUAAGUGGAAGGGGUUGCCAUGACCUCUGUGCCGCCGCUAACCCAUCAAGUAUUCCGCCUGGGGAAGUACGGCCGCAAGAAUAAAACUCAAAGGGAAUUGACGGGGGCCCGCACAAGUAGCGGAGCAUGUGCUUAC